rnacentral:rRNA from 1 species
UUGGAGGGCAAGUCUGGUGCCAGCAGCCGCGGUAAUUCCAGCUCCAAUAGCAUAUAUUAAAGUUGUUGCAGUUAAAAAGCUCGUAGUUGGAUUUCUGGAAGGAUGCCAAUGUCCGCUCGAUAGCGUGUGCAGCGGCGUCCUUCCAUCCUUCUGUUAACGUUUCUUGGUAUUCAGUUACUGGUUUCGGGCUCAGAUAUUUUACCUUGAGAAAAUUAGAGUGUUCCAGGCAGGCUUGCGCCGGAAUACAUUAGCAUGGAAUAAUAGAAUAGGACUUUAGUCUCCUUUGUUGGUUUGAGGGACUGAAGUAAUGAUUAAUAGGGAUAGUUGGGGGCAUUAGUAUUUAAUUGUCAGAGGUGAAAUUCUCGGAUUUGUUAAAGACUAACUUAUGCGAAAGCAUUUGCCAAGGAUGUUUUCAUUAAUCAAGAACGAAAGUUAGGGGAUCAAAGACGAUCAGAUACCGUCCUAGUCUUAACCAUAAACUAUGCCGACUAGGGAUCGGAGGCGCGCUUUAUCCGCCUUCGGCGCCUUACGGGAAAC